UAGGCGUGCCAGCUCUGCAGG
rnacentral:misc_RNA from 1 species